GACGGGGGCCCGCACAAGCGGUGGAGUAUGUGGUUUAAUUCGACGCAACGCGCAGAACCUUUACCUGGUCUUGACAUCCCGGGAAUCUUUCUGAAAGGAGAGAGUGCCUCGCAAGAGGAGCCUGGAGACAGGUGGUGCAUGGUUGUCGUCAGCUCGUGUCGUGAGAUGUUGGGUUAAGUCCCGCAACGAGCGCAACCCCUAUUGUUAGUUGCCAUCAUUCAGUUGGGCACUCUAGCGAGACUGCCGGUAAUAAACCGGAGGAAGGUGGGGAUGACGUCAAAUCAUCAUGCCCCUUAUGGCCUGGGCUACACACGCGCUACAAUGGUUGGUACAACGAGUUGCGAGUCGGUGACGGCGAGCUAAUCUCUUAAAGCCAAUCUCAGUUCGGAUUGUAGGCUGCAACUCGCCUACAUGAAGUCGGAAUCGCUAGUAAUCGCGGAUCAGCACGCCGCGGUGAAUACGUUCCCGGGCCUU
rnacentral:rRNA from 1 species